CUCCGCAGAACCGAACAGCGGAAGAAAAGGAAUCUUUUCUGUGCUGCCGCUGCGAUCACACCGCCAUCACGCAGGCGGCAUAAAUUAAAGUUUUUUUACACGCACGUUGCGCAGAAAGUGAAACUACCGACCAAAAGUGGACGGAACAGCGGCUGUGACGCAGGACCGGGCAAAUACAAACCUCCCUACGAGGACAGGAGCGCUAGCAUCGUGGAAACUGGCAGAAUUCAUUGGUCUCAUCCACUCGGUAGGAAGAACAUUUUAACCAUCCGGUAAACGCAAGUGGAAUUCCAUUCUUGCGGAUCAAUCGCUACCGCAUUGUCCGUUGAGUGAGCCAGGAUUCGACGGAUCAAAGCAGAUUGUCGCUCUGAGGAGUGGACGAAAACGGUUCCAGUGACAGCAAACAACGACCAAAGUCAUUGAAGGCCAUUGGUUUAGUGGAGGAAUUCGAGCGGUGCCAAUAUCACCCCACUGACUGGGGUUUUUGUGCCGGAUUUUGUUUUUGUGCUGGACUUUGUUUUUGUGCCGGAUCCAAUUCGUCAGCUGUCGGUGCGCGAUCGAUGCGGUUCGGCUGGAGAAAAAGGGCGUGCUAGCCUCGACGAGGGGAUCCAAGCUAUCGGUGUGGACCGACUUCGGAACUGUCGGGUGGUGUUCACUGGUGCGAGAUUGGUGACUGUGGCGUGCGGAAACAUCGUCAUCCUGACGAGAGGAUCGACUGCCUCGGAGGGAUCCCAUCCAGCUACCCGGUCGUGCUGGACGGCCAGAGGGGUCUCCAGCAGAGGAGUACCGUCGGUGAGAACCUCGGGAACGGCAUGCGAGAAUCGCGGUGGCGAAAUGGCUGCCGUGCAGGUGAAGCGUAGGGGGACGCCCCGAAGCAACCGUGAGUAAGGAAGACAAAUGUUAGUUUGUAAGAAAAUGAAGAUAUAGAGAAAGGAGAAGAGAGAGAUGCUUAGGAGCUAGGAAGGAAAGUGGGAUCAAUCCCCAAAUAUAUGUAUUAAAUUGAA